GAUGAACGCUAGCGGCAGGCUUAACACAUGCAAGUCGAGGGGCAGCAUGAUUGUAGCAAUACAAUUGAUGGCGACCGGCAAACGGGUGCGGAACACGUACACAACCUCCCAAUAAGUGGGGAAUAGCCCAGAGAAAUUUGGAUUAAUACCCCGUAACAUAACGAUGUGGCAUCACAUUGUUAUUAUAGAUUUUUCGAUUAUUGAUGGGUGUGCGGCUGAUUAGAUAGUUGGCGGGGUAACGGCCCACCAAGUCUACGAUCAGUAGCUGAUGUGAGAGCAUGAUCAGCCACACGGGCACUGAGACACGGGCCCGACUCCUACGGGAGGCAGCAGUAAGGAAUAUUGGACAAUGGACGCAAGUCUGAUCCAGCCAUGCCGCGUGAAGGAUUAAGGUCCUCUGGAUUGUAAACUUCUUUUAUAAGGGACGAAAAAAGGCUUUUCUAAGUCGUCUGACGGUACCUUAUGAAUAAGCACCGGCUAACUCCGUGCCAGCCGCCGCGGUAACAC
rnacentral:rRNA from 1 species